AUUGAACGCUGGCGGCAUGCCUUACACAUGCAAGUCGAACGGCAGCAUGAUCUAGCUUGCUAGAUUGAUGGCGAGUGGCGAACGGGUGAGUAAUACAUCGGAACGUGCCCUGUAGUGGGGGAUAACUAGUCGAAAGAUUAGCUAAUACCGCAUACGACCUGAGGGUGAAAGUGGGGGACCGCAAGGCCUCAUGCUAUAGGAGCGGCCGAUGUCUGAUUAGCUAGUUGGUGAGGUAAAGGCUCACCAAGGCGACGAUCAGUAGCUGGUCUGGGAGGACGGUCAGCCAGACUGGGACUGAGACACGGCCCAGACUCCUACGGGAGGCAGCAGUGGGGAAUUUUGGACAAUGGGCGAAAGCCUGAUCCAGCAAUGCCGCGUGUGUGAAGAAGGCCUUCGGGUUGUAAAGCACUUUUGUCCGGAAAGAAAUGGCUCUGGUUAAUACCUGGGGUCGAUGACGGUACCGGAAGAAUAAGGACCGGCUAACUACGUGCCAGCCGCCGCGGUAA
rnacentral:rRNA from 1 species